CUAAUUAGCUUGUAAGCUCAUAUAGUUUGGUCUUUUAAUUAGACGGACAUGCUACAAUAAGCGAUGACCACUAUCACGAAUUCAGUCAAUCAUAUUCACUGCUGGCAUUGUUCCUAUUGACCAUAGAUACAAUGCACACAUAUAAUCCACGUUGCAAUACUGGUGCGUAUGGCGGCAAAAAUGGUGGCGUUCUAGCGUUCGCGCGCGCGGACCACCACAACAAGACCGUUGACUGUCUUUCUGCAGCACAGGCCCACACUUAUGGUGCACCUCAUUUAGCAAGACAUCCAGUGACAUCCGAGGAUUUUUACCUGAGGGUGCCUUACACUUCGCCGGGUGUGACCGUGUUCGGGGUGUCGGAUCUCCCGCCCAAGACCUUUGACGCUCUUAGGAGAGCCUGCUCUGAAAAUGAGCAGACUCUGGAUAGUGUUGCAUAGGUCGUGCGUAGAGCUGGAAGUAGCAGGUCGGGACGGGGCACUUAAGCUACUGGCCGACCUUAAGGUAAUGUAAGCUUACAUUGCCGCCCGUUGGCUGGUCCGCGAGUUUUAGGUCUUGGGUCCGGAGCGGCGGUAAGUGCCUGGACCUUUUGAUAGGAAUAUUUAUUGGCUUCACUGGCGGCUUCUCGCUGGCGGCGGUCCCCAAUUUGCUCUGCCUACGUACGCCUCUUCGUCCUCCUCCUUGCAUCUAGGCUGCAGCUGUGUGCCUUACCCUUAGGUCUAGGUUUCUACACAAGGCAUGUUUUGGUGCGUCAAUGUUGAUAAUUGGGCAUUCACAAGUGAUUGGUGAAGACAUGUAUGUUUGCGUGUGUAGACAGGCGAGACAGGUGCAGGUGAAUGUAAACAUGGGUUACCCUGUCUGUUACCCAUCAGUAGUGUAUUACCCCGACCCCUUUGUUACCCCUCAGUAAGGGGUUACCCCUACCCCGGGGUUAGGUUACCCACCUCCCUUCGUACAUAGCCACAUGGGUAACCCCUAACCCUACACCCUGGGUUACGCUUAAGGGGGGGUUACCCCCCGUUUUAUGCCAUAGGGAGUUUGAGACCGCAGAUGCAACAGCAGCAAAUGCAGCAUCAACUGUCGUCGAAGCCAUCGCAACAACAGACCACGCAAUUGCAGGUAACGAAGCUGCAACAGGGACAGUUGGAGCCAGUGCAGCAAUAUCCUGCCUCAUUACC
rnacentral:lncRNA from 1 species